AUUAAACGCUGGCGGCAUGCCUUACACAUGCAAGUCGAACGGCAGCACGGGGGCAACCCUGGUGGCGAGUGGCGAACGGGUGAGUAAAGCAUCGGAACGUGCCCUGGAGUGGGGGAGUAACGUAGCGAAAGUUACGCUAAUACCGCAUAUUCUGUGAGCAGGAAAGCAGGGGAUCGCAAGACCUUGCGCUCUGGGAGCGGCCGAUGUCGGAUUAGCUAGUUGGUGGGGUAAAAGGCCUACCAAGGCGACGAUCCGUAGCGGGUCUGAGAGGAUGAUCCGCCACACUGGGACUGAGACACGGCCCAGACUCCUACGGGAGGCAGCAGUGGGGAAGUUUUGGACAAUGGGCGAAAGCCUGAUCCAGCCAUGCCGCGUGAGUGAAGAAGGCCUUCGG
rnacentral:rRNA from 1 species